AAUUCUCAAAACCCUUUCUUUAAAGGAUUUUGGACCUGGAGGUUUUGAUGCUCGCUUUCGCGUCUUGAAAGCGAGCUCCUCUUAAACGAAUUAGUGGGGUCUGCUUUGUUCGGUCCUUGACGUGAUAAGAUGUUUUAACGUUUUGGACUUGGCACUGUCGCUCGGACACCUGCUUCCAACCGUCCAUGCUGUGGACAACGAUGGUGCUUCGGUCUUCUUUGUCCAUAUCGGCAGAAGGCUGGACCCACAGAAAGAAAA
rnacentral:misc_RNA from 1 species